GAAAGACAUAGUGACUGUCCACCUAGUGUCCUGUUCAUUCCUCGGGAGGGUUGGACUUUCCUUUCUGCAGGAAGAGAGCGGUUGUCUUGUAUUCUGGGUGUGAGUGCAGAUGAGGCCAGUCGUUUUCAGGACACUUUCCUACAGACAUACAGAGAGGUGCCGGCCUUCAUCCAGCACACCAUCCAGCACUGCCACAAACACGGUAUGUGUGAUCAACACAGAGUAGAGUUGAAGAAACUAAGCUCAGCUGCAGACCUAGCCAAAAUGGCAAUGAUCAAAAUCUGCUCUCAAGUGGCUUCUGUCUCUCACACUGCCAGGCUCGAGGCUCAAAUCCAUGAUGAGCUGCUGUUUCAAGUGGAGAUCUCACAAGUGGAGCAGUUUGCCAGUGCCCCUCAAAGUCUCACCGUCCACAGGACCAUCAUGGGGCUCAAUGUGCGAGAUGGACCUCCCCUGCAAUAUUACAACUACAUCUCUCUGUGUCUCCCGCUCUUCCUCUCAUCCCGUAACUAUGGUAACCAGGCAGCUGCAGUUCCCAAUUCUUGUUUCUCACUGAUGUAUCCGAGGGCAACGAUGAGGCUCAUUGUGGUUUGUAUCUCUCCCUGUGCUGGUACUGUGAUAGGAGGAUAG
ensembl:lncRNA